AUUUAGGAAUUCUGGUGAGUUGUAAGCCACACGGAUGUAGUUUCUGUGAGCAUGAUUCAGUGAGAAAACCCUAGGCUGAGAGUCAGAAACCUGCUUUGGACCAGCCGGGUCUCUGGAUGUGCCCGGGGUAUCUUGUGAGGUAGCGACACACAAAACCCAGAAACUCAAAUAGCAAGACUUCAAAAGACUUCCACGUUAGGGUUGAAAACAGUGAAAUCAGUUGUUCCACUUAACAUACAGGAAUGUGUAGAACAUUUCACUGAUUCGACUUCCGUUUUAUCCUGUGUGAAACGUAGAUAUUGUACGUCUCCUGCUUGCUUUUUAGGGUUGUUGGCAGGAUAAAUGAAAAUGCGUGAUGGACACCCUGGGAACCCAGAAGAAAGGUGCCUUUGAAAGUAAACCUCAUGCGAGGGCUGUGCGCUCAGCAGCGGCAGUCUUCAUGCUGAGAGGCUGCUGUAGUGCAUCCUCUGGGGAGCGCCGGGAGCGUGGGCGCUGGGGCCAGGCUGCCUCGCGUCGCAUCCCACCUCGGCCCUUUGCAGGUGGUCGGAUCGAGACAGUUAUCUAACCCCUCUGUGCCGCAGCUUCCUCUUGAAAGUGGGGUUGAUAAUAACAGUACCUGCUCAGAGCGUCAUGAAGAGUCCUAGGUGAGCUGCUGCAUGUGAAGUGUGUACUUAGAGCAGCGGCCGGCAGGCAGUGUGGCCAUGGCCGUGGCAUCUGGGCCCGAUCCUGCGCGCCAGGAGAAACCCAGGCAGCGUGGGAGUUCCCAUGAAAUGGAAUUUCCUACACCUUGCAGAAAACUAAACUUGAAAGGUGUCCCUGUUAGUAUUCUGCUAUUGUCUUGGAGGCCCAGGCAGCUUACAGGAAGAGGCACUGGCUAGUUUAUGGGGAUCAGGCACCUCUCAAACAAUGUAAGUUCAGGUGCUGCAGGUUAAAUCUGGGCUCCUAACCUUUUCGGGAGAAAAGUUUAGAUAAUUAAGAGCUUAUUGGCCCUUUGUUGGCAGGUUCUUUUGUUUUAGCUGUUUUUGGCUACGGAGGCACAGGAAAGACCCGUGGGAGAGACCCCAUCCUUUACUUAGUCAGCACUUACUCAUUCUCUCAGCUUCAGUCAGCUGUCUAGUGGGCUUUCCCAGAGUCAGAAAGCAUUUAUGUGGUGAGAGAUUUUUACCUUGCUGUAGGAGGCUUCCCUGCUUCAUCCUCAGUAGAAUAAGGGGGAAGAAAGUCACUGCUGUGUGUCACAUAUUCCCAAGCGUUUCCACAUAAUUAUAUACACUUAUCUAUGAGGUCGGUGGUGUUUGUUAACCCUGUUUCGCACCUGAGAACACCGACACUCAGGUCGGUUAAAUAAACUCGUGCAGGGUCACACCCCUAGCAGGUUGCAAAACUGGGACUUGAAUCCAGGAGCUGCCCUUCUGGUACCUGCUGCCUUGUGCUUGCCGGCAAACCUGGCUGCACCCCUGACAGGAGAUCCUGCCACUUGGUUGCAGGGGCCUCCUCUGCAUGCAUUUGUGUCCCUCAGCCGUCAGUGCCCCAGACUUACUUAGUGAGGCCUCCAGCACCCCACCACCCGCAUCACUAGGAAGGCCCCGCCGUUCGCGUGGCGCCUGGAGGGGCUGCAUAGCAGCGGCUUCCUUGCUCUUGGCUGCACGUCCAGGAUCCCUUGUACAGCUUUAAAAUGUGGAGCACUGGCCCCAUCCCAGACUCUGAGCUGCCUGUUCUAGCAGAGAACCAUCGAUCAGAGCACAAAGAUGCAGGAUGUUUAUGUUACUCGUAAGGAAAAGCUAUCACUAAUCCAGAACACGGGCCAGUGCCGUUAAUUCUAUAGUUAGCUGCAUUGUAAGCUACAGUGGGCCUUUGUGGGCCAGUGUGGUGGUGCACUCACCAGCAACCAGCAGCCAUUUUGUGGGAAGAGUCCCAGCUGUCCUUUCGGUGGGAUGUAGUCUUCUGGAAGUGGGCAUCUGACCAUCACAAAAACCAGGUUUGAGAUCGCUCAUGGGGCGAAAUGAAGCAGUGGGCUGUCUCCUUUCUCCUUCGCCUUUUCACUUUCUUUUCUCUGCCCUACUUGCGUGCAUUUAUUUUUUACAACCCUCCUUCCCUCUCCUCCCCAACCCUUCCCUGUCUUAUCUUUCCUCUGUUUCUCUUUUUCUCCAUCGUCUGCCAGAUGCUUCUGAGUGUUUCUGUCAUCAGACUGUAAAUGCUUGAAAUCCUGCAAGGGGCCGGGCACAUCGCAGGUGUUCCUAGCAGUUGACGCGUCUCGGUAUGUCCUGGGAUCUUUCAGAGGUGAAGGCACUACCCUGAGUCACCUUGAAAGUUGUCAGAUUUUGUUUGUGAUCAUCAACCUUAAGUUGGGUGCUUUAUCUUGAAAAUUCAGAUAAUCUGGCAUGACAGUUUGAGAAACGCCGUCACUAACUAGGACAGAGUGCUGGCCAAUGAUGGACUUGACCCCUCUAGAGGCACUGGCAUCCGGCUUUUAGUGUAUUUGCUGCUGAAGGUCUGAGGUCAUGGGUCAGGCCCCCCAUUUUGGUGACGAGGAGCCAUUCCUGAGAGGGGGAGCCCUUCCCGGAGGCCCUCAGCCAGUCCAGACUUGCUGCCCGGGGAGGGGAGCAGAGCCAGCGCUGGGGCGCGUGGAUGCCCUGUGGCCGUGCACGGUGACCUGUGUGCCUCGGGAGAUGACGGAGAAAUACCCGGCCCUGAUGGGUAGGCUGGUGGGUAGGAGGGGCCCCUGCGCUGAGCAGGCCCCUUGGGGGGCAGUUCUGAUGGCGUUUAACCCCUCUGGAGGCGGUAGGAGACCAAGAAACAUGGUCCAAGUGUGAAAAGUUAUUUUAUGUCAUUCUUCAGUGAAAAUCUGCCCUCGCCAGCAGGGGGGCGACUGAAGGCCAAGGCGGCAGCAGGAUCGUUGCUCAGUCAGGAGCGAAGGGGAAGCAUCUCCUGUUUGUGCUCGUUUGUGGGUGCCAUCUCCCUGGGAAACCGUGGCCCUGGUUACCGUGGCACCAGGUGACAUGCCUCCGAAUCACAGGAUUUAGACCAGACUUUCCACUUUCCACACGUGUCUCUAGAGACCUGAGCACGUGACCUCUGAGGCGGCAGCACAGUUUGAGAUCGUAGAAGGCCCCUUACGAAGUGACACUGGUGCUCCUCGGAGCACAGCGGUUAUGGCUCACUUCAAGGUUUCUCCACAGAGAGAAACAUCAGCAAACACACCUGGAAUAGCUCUCACCACACACUUGUUCAUGGGCGCAGCAAGAAGAGAGAUCCACAGAGCUGGAGCCGUGAGGGCUGACAUAUUGGAAUGAAAGCUGGCAGAAUUCGUAGGGAGAGCUUUGCCAUCCUGCCAGCUCCAUAUCUGGCUUCAAGACAAUUCUAUUAGUGAAUUAAUUGUACUCAAAACCUGAAAUUAAUUUGAACUGAAUGUUACUAAAAAGAUUAAAGUGACCCAGUCUUGCUUCA